AGAACUGUGCCCGAAUGCUUAAGGACUACGUUGAUGUCGUAGUAUAUAGGGGUUCAAGUCCCCUCAGUUCUA
rnacentral:tRNA from 1 species